UUCCGGUUGAUCCUGCCGGAGGCUACCGCUAUUGGAGUUCGAUUAAGCCAUGCGAGUCGAGAGUCCUCGGGACUCGGCGUACCGCUCAGUAACACGUGGGUAACCUGCCCUAUGCUGGGGAAUAACCUCGGGAAACUGAGAAUAAUGCCCCAUAGCCCACUACGCCUGGAACGGUGAGUGGGUCAAAGCCCCGGCGGCAUAGGAUGGGCCUGCGCCGUAUCAGGUUGUAGGGGGUGUAAAGUACCCUCUAGCCAUCAACGCGUACGGGUGUUGGGAGACAUUGCCCGGAGAUGGAUUCUGAGACACGAAUCCAGACCCUACGGGGUGCAGCAGGCGCGAAAACUUGGCAAUGCGAGAAAUCGUGACCAGGGAACUCCAAGUGCGUAGGGUAAGACCUACGCUUUUCUUGACUCUUCAAAGGUCUUGGAAUAAGGGGUGGGUAAGGACGGUGCCAGCCGCCGCGGUAAUACCGGCGCCUCAAGUGGUAGUCGCUUUUAUUGGGCCUAAAACGUCCGUAGCCGGUCUGGUGCAUUCGUGGGUAAAUCAACCCGCUCAACGGGUUGAAUUCUGCGAGCACGGCCAGACUUGGGACCGGGAGAGGUGUGGGGUACUCUCAGGGUAGGGGUAAAAUCCUGUCAUCCUGAGAGGACCACCUGUUGCGAAGGCGCCACACUAGAACGGAUCCGACGGUCAGGGACGAAGCCUAGGGGCACGAACCGGAUUAGAUACCCGGGUAGUCCUAGGUGUAAACGCUGUGGACUUGGUGUUGGGGAAGCCCAGAGCUUUCCCAGUGCCGUAGCGAAGGUGUUGAGUCCACUGCCUGGGGAGUACGGUCGCAAGGCUGAAACUUAAAGGAAUUGGCGGGGGAGCACUGCAACCUGAGGAUUGUGCGGUUUAAUUGGAUUCAACGCCGGG
rnacentral:rRNA from 1 species